AGUGAACGCUGGCGGUAGGCCUAACACAUGCAAGUCGAACGGCAGCACAGUAAGAGCUUGCUCUUACGGGUGGCGAGUGGCGGACGGGUGAGGAAUACAUCGGAAUCUACUUUUUCGUGGGGGAUAACGUAGGGAAACUUACGCUAAUACCGCAUACGACCUACGGGUGAAAGCAGGGGAUCUUCGGACCUUGCGCGAUUGAAUGAGCCGAUGUCGGAUUAGCUAGUUGGCGGGGUAAAGGCCCACCAAGGCGACGAUCCGUAGCUGGUCUGAGAGGAUGAUCAGCCACACUGGAACUGAGACACGGCCCAGACUCCUACGGGAGGCAGCAGUGGGAAUAUUGGACAAUGGGCGCAAGCCUGAUCCAGCCAUACCGCGUGGGUGAAGAAGGCCUUCGGGUUGUAAAGCCCUUUUGUUGGGAAAGAAAAGCAGCAGGUUAAUACCCCGCUGUUCUGACGGUACCCAAAGAAUAAGCACCGGCUAACUUCGUG
rnacentral:rRNA from 1 species